rnacentral:tRNA from 1 species
GGAAAGGUGGCCGAGAGGCUGAAGGCAACGGUUUGCUAAACCGUCGUACGGAUGAAUGUCUGUACCGGGGGUUCGAAUCCCCCCCUUUCCG